rnacentral:tRNA from 1 species
UAGAAAUACUAGUAAUAGUAGGGGCGGAUGUAGCCAAGUGUCAAGGC